AACGAACGCUGGCGGCGUGCCUAAUACACGCAAGUCGCACGAGAAAGUCUUCGGAUGAGUAGAGUGGCGCACGGGUGAGUAAUACAUCGGAACAUACCUACAAGAGGGGGAUAACCACGGGAAACUGUGGCUAAUACCGCAUAAUAUCGCAAGAUUAAAGGGGGCCUCUAUUUAUAAGCUUUCACUUGUAGAUUGGCCGAUGUCCCAUUAGCUAGUUGGCGGGUAAAAGCCCACCAAGGCGACGAUGGGUAGCUGGUCUGAGAGGAUGAUCAGCCACACUGGAACUGAGACACGGUCCAGACUCCUACGGGAGGCAGCAGUAGGGAAUUUUGCACAAUGGACGAAAGUCUGAUGCAGCAACGCCGCGUGAGUGAAGAAGGCCCUUGGGUUGUAAAGCUCUUUCGGUUGGGAAGAAGGGUAGAUUGGCUAAUAUCCAAUUUACUGGACGGUACCAGAAGAAGAAGCACCGGCUAACUCCGUGCCAGCAGCCGCGGUAAU
rnacentral:rRNA from 1 species